UGGGGAAUAUUGCACAAUGGAGGGAACUCUGAUGCAGCGACGCCGCGUGAGUGAUGAAGGCAUUCGUUUCGUAAAACUCUGUUCUAUGGGAAGAAAAGGACUGUACCAUAGGAGAAAGCUCCGGCUAAAUACGUGCCAGCAGCCGCGGUAAUACGUAUGGAGCGAGCGUUGUCCGGAAUUAUUGGGCGUAAAGGGUGCGCAGGCGGCUUUACAAGUUGGAUGUGAAAUAUUGUGGCUCAACCACAAACGUGCAUCCAAAACUGCAAAGCUUGAGUUAAGGAGAGGUAAGUGGAAUUCCUGGUGUAGCGGUGGAAUGCGUAGAUAUCAGGAGGAAUACCGGUGGCGAAGGCGACUUACUGGACUUAAACUGACGCUCAGGCACGAAAGCGUGGGGAGCAAACAGG
rnacentral:rRNA from 1 species